rnacentral:lncRNA from 1 species
CUUGUGUGUGGCAUAGAAAGGGAUUCUGGAAUUCAUCACCAAGUGCCCAGGCAGAACUGAUCAUCUAAGCUAGAAAGAACAAGGUUAGAAGUUCCCAGCUAAGUCCUCCAAUGCCACACGUCCUUUGAAGUCAUUUUGGUUGCCUUGGAGCUCUUCUCAACAUCUCACAGGGCAUAAAGAAACCAUAUACUUGUGUAUCUUUGCUUUGGGCUAGUCUUACAUCAACUCAGUUACCAUGCCAUUCAGGCCACAAGCUCUGAUUGACAGUUACUUAUUAAAAAGUAAAAAAGAUCUUUCAAGCAAGGAGACCAUGCAGCUAAUAUAACAUGCUAUGGGGGAAAGAUGGAAGCCUUUGGCCUAAUUCAAUCACAAGAGUUCAGGUAGGGGAACCUCCAGAUGUUGCCGAGGCCCACAGAGAAGCCAAUCUGGGCCAGGAUGUACUGCAGCUUACUGUUCCAGGCCGGCCGGUCCUCUGCGUCCAGCUCCUCCUCCACCGCCUUCUGCUUGCCGCCUGUCUCACCAGCCACAUUCAGUACACUCUGCUUAUAGUCCACAGGCUCCUCGAGGGCCAGCAGGUCGGCCACGGACUCAGUGACAUGCUCACUGCUGUGCUCACGCUGGGUCACUUUGCUGUUCUUCGGCAUUGAUGCCACCUGGGCCGUGUAGCCCUGCUCCCCAGCACACAGAGAAGAUGGAAUUCAGCUGCUGUCAGCUCCUUCUCAUCCAGGGACCUAGGAAACCAGGUGAGCAGUAAAGGAUUAUCUGACCACACCAGGAAGGUGAGGAGCCCAACGUGGACACAACCCAAAUUAACUCCCCAUCACACUGUGAGGCAGGUCAAGGGCCUCAUAUAUUCAGCUUGCCCUCCCUCCCCAUCAGGGGCUGCCCAGUGAGGAGCUCAAGGCCUACAGACUCAGUUUCUCCAGAGGCUUGACCCGAGCAUUAUUUGAAAAGUAAACCUAAAGGGGCAAAAUAGGCAAAGCCAUACUCCGAACCCAAGUAGAGCGUUAUCCGUGAAGACAUUUCUCUCUUCCAUACUGCAGAGCUUAGAGUGCUCAAGCCCCU